rnacentral:rRNA from 1 species
UGAGGAAUAUUGGUCAAUGGGGGCAACCCUGAACCAGCCAAGUCGCGUGAAGGAUGAAGGUCUUAUGGAUUGUAAACUUCUUUUAUACAGGAAUAAAUUGGGGGACGUGUCCCCUUUUGCAUGUACUGUAUGAAUAAGGAUCGGCUAACUCCGUGCCAGCAGCCGCGGUAAUACGGAGGAUCCGAGCGUUAUCCGGAGUUCUUGGGUUUAAAGGGUGCGCAGGCGGGAUGUUAAGUCGGCGGUGAAAUUUUGCAGCUCAACUGUAAAAGUGCCUUCGAUACUGGCCUCCGUGAAUGUGGAUGAAGUAGGCGGAAUUUGUGGUGUAGCGGUGAAAUGCUUAGAUAUCACGAGGAACUCCGAUUGCGCAGGCAGCUUACUAAGCCACAACUGACGCUCAUGCACGAAGGCGUGGGGAUCAAACA